rnacentral:rRNA from 1 species
UACGAAGGGUGCAAGCGUUGCUCGGAAUUAUUGGGCGUAAAGGGUAGGUAGGUGGUAAUACAAGUCUUGUGUGAAAUCUUCGGGCUCAACUCGAAGUCUGCACGAGAAACUAUCUGGCUUGAGUGUGGGAGAGGUGAGUGGAAUUCCUGGUGUAGCGGUGAAAUGCGUAGAUAUCAGGAGGAACACCUGUGGCGAAAGCGGCUCACUGGACCACAACUGACGCUGAGGCGCGAAAGCUAGGGGAGCAAACAGG